rnacentral:rRNA from 1 species
AUGGCCAGGUCAUGGCUGGCCGGCCUGCGGUCUCGGCUCGGCGGCGGCGCCAGGCAGGACGGGCUCGGCAUCCUGGCCUUCGAGGCGGCGGCGGCCAUGUCGCGCCUGGUCUCGCUCCACCUCUCGCUGUCCGACGCGGAGGUCAGGAGGCUCCGCGGCGACGUGCUGCGCGCCGAGGGCGUCGCGCGCCUCACGUCCACGGACCAGUCCCGCCUGCUCCGGCUCACGUGCGCCGAGCUCAUGGCGGGCCUCGACCGCGCCGCCGACGACGCCGCGCGCCUCGGGGCGCACUGCCGCGGGCUGCCGGACGCGCCGUUCCUCCACGACUUCGACCGCGUCUACGCCGAGGCGAAGCGCGGAGCCGGCCUCGCGCGGCUGGACGCCACGGUCGGCUUCUCCAGGGGCGCCGGGAAGCGGUUCAAGAAGAUGGAGCGGCACGUGGCCGCCACGGCAAAGCUGUACGCGGCGAUGGACGCGCUCACCGAGCUGGAGGCGUCGGAGCGGCGGAUGGAGCAGUGGAAGCAGCACAGCGGGCCCAUCCCCGUGCAGUCCAAGAGGCAGCCUGCGGACGAGCCAAGCGAGAAGCUGAUGGGCGAGCUGAGGCUGCAGCGGCAGAAGGUGCGGCGACUCACGGAGGGCUCGCUCUGGAGCGUCGCCGCCCACAAGGUGGCCAAGCUCAUGGCCAAGUCGGUGCUUGCCGUGCUCGCGCGCGUUUCCGUUGCCUUCGGCGCGUUAGUGCCGGGAUUGCCACCUCCGUUAGCAGGCCGGGGAUGGGCGCUCGGCCACUCGUCUGGCCCCAUGCACCAGUCGACGGCGCCCGACGCGGCGAUCCGGCACUCGGCCCCGAUCUUCCGGCAAAAAGACACGGCCUCCACAUCGUCAGAGCCACUCAAGCCGCCUGCGGCCACCGUCGGUGGGUCGGGGAUGGAACUGCGUUACGCGAACGUGAUCUUGUCCGCCGAGACGCUGCUCAAGGCGCUGAGGCCGGCGAUCCGCAACGAGGGGGUGCAUGACGGGAUGACGGAGCUGUCGAUGAGAGACGAGCUGUACAAGAUGCUGCCCGUGACCAUACGCGCGGCAGUGAAGGAGAAGCUGAGGGAGAGGUUGAGAGGAGGGCAGGUGGACGAGGAGGCCGCCGCGACAGCGAUGGACGCCGUGGAAGGAGUGCUGCGGUGGUUGGGGCCAAUGGCGCAUGACACGCUGCGGUGGCAGGACGAGAGGAGCAUGGAGCGGAAGCAACGGUUCAGCAUGCAGCCGCGCGCGCCGAUGGUGCAGACGCUGCAUUUCGCGGACCGUCGGAAGGCGGACGCUGCUAUCGUCCAGGUGCUCGUUGGUCUCAGCUGUAUGUGCUGGUACGACGAUCAACGGCGGCGGCCGGCUGACUGGAACGAGUAG